rnacentral:rRNA from 1 species
AGCGGAGGAAAAGAAAAUAACAAUGAUUCCCUCAGUAACGGCGAGCGAAGAGGGAUAAGCUCAAAUUUUAAAUCUGUUGGGUUCCACUUAACAGAGUUGUAUUUUGAAGAAACGUUUUCUGCGUCCAGGAUUAGCCUAAAUCCUUUGGGAUAAGGUAUCAUGGAGGGUGAGAAUCCCGUUCAUGGUUAAUCUUAAGGAAGCUCUACGAUACGUUUUCCAAGAGUCGAGUUGUUUGGGAUUGCAGCUCAAAAUGGGAGGUAAAUUUCUCCUAAGGCUAAAUAUUGGCGAGAGACCGAUAGCGAACAAGUACCGUGAGGGAAAGAUGAAAAGAACUUUGAAAAGAGAGUUAAACAGUACGUGAAAUUGUUGAAAGGGAAACGAUUGAAGUCAGUCAUACCAACGGGAAAUCAACCUUUUGAGCUYGGUCUCGUGGGUUUUGAAGAGUUUCAAAGCCUUCGGAUUCGCGGGAUUGGGAUCUCUUGGUGUACUUUUUCGUACGGUUAGUCAACAUCGGUUUUGAAUGUCAUAAAAUGACUGGAGGAAUGUAGCUUCGAUCUCGUAUUGAAGUGUUAUAGCCUUUGGUAGAUGUGAUGUUUGAGACCGAGGAUUGCAACGGAUACCCUUCAGGGCUAUUCGUCUGAUCUCUGAUACGUUGCCUUGAUGUUGAAAGCUUGCUUAUGAUGUUAGGGUAUUACGGUCAAAAGGUUAGAACGAAUUACAUUCGUUAAGGAUGUUGACGUAAUGACUUUAAACGACCCGUCUUGAACAACGGA